AACGAACGCUGGCGGCAUGCCUAACACAUGCAAGUCGAACGAUCCCUUCGGGGAUAGUGGCGCACGGGUGCGUAACGCGUGGGAAUCUGCCCUUGGGUUCGGAAUAACCAGGAGAAAUCCUGGCUAAUACCGGAUGAUGACUUCGGUCCAAAGAUUUAUCGCCCAGGGAUGAGCCCGCGUCGGAUUAGCUAGUUGGUGAGGUAAAGGCUCACCAAGGCGACGAUCCGUAGCUGGUCUGAGAGGAUGAUCAGCCACACUGGGACUGAGACACGGCCCAGACUCCUACGGGAGGCAGCAGUGGGGAAUAUUGGACAAUGGGCGAAAGCCUGAUCCAGCAAUGCCGCGUGAGUGAUGAAGGCCUUAGGGUUGUAAAGCUCUUUUGCCCGGGAUGAUAAUGACAGUACCGGGAGAAUAAGCCCCGGCUAACUCCGUGCCAGCCGCCGCCGUAA
rnacentral:rRNA from 1 species